GAGUGGCUUCAGCUCAAGCCCAAGUGUGGUUUCUCAAGGUCUACAGUGAGGCCCACCGACGCGCUGGGGAUCUGUUCUCCUUGGAGAAGGGGAAGGAUCUAAUCUGAGCUGCUGAGACGCAAACCAGAACAGGCCCCGGAUAUUGAUCUUUAGCAGCACUCUUGCUCCGUUGAGGCCCAUCACCCCAUCGUAAAGCUGCCGUGUUUAGCAGGCUUCCUCAUUUCCUGCUGCUGUCCCUUCGGCCCAGACUUCUCAUGGAUCCAGGGCAUUCGCCCUCUUCCUACAUGGUCCAGGAACCUCAGGAGGUCGGAUUUCAGAACGAAUAGGAAGCCACAAGAAUCUUGCAGGCAAGACAAACAGGCGUCAGAGACCCUGAUCUUCC
rnacentral:lncRNA from 1 species